rnacentral:ncRNA from 1 species
ACUCGGGCACGAUCCUUUCACGCUCUCAUGCGUCACGGAAGGAACCGACCCGUAGUUCAACCCUGAGGGA